rnacentral:lncRNA from 1 species
AGCUUGGUGAGCAGGCACCAGGCCUGAUCCCUGCCCAGCCCCAGCACCCUACCCUCUUCAUGUCCUUGGUCCUUCUUCCCGGCUCCUGGCCCCAGCCUGGCCUCCCAUCCACUUCCUGAUUGUGCCUCUGCCCCCAGCUCCAUUCUCCUGAUCAUCCUCUUCUCCCAGUACCUGCGCAACCUCACCUUCCUGCUGCCUGUCUACCGCUGGGGCAAGGGCCUCACUCUCCUCCGCAUCCAGAUCUUCAAAAUGUUUCCUGUGAGGACCUGGCAGGCGGCUGGGGCUGGGACUAUGGCCAGGGCUUGGGCUGAGGUGGGAGCAGGUUAGCCUGGACAGAGACCUCCAGUGCCUUCAGUGCCCCCUCACCCCCCUCCUUCAGAUCAUGCUGGCCAUCAUGACCGUGUGGCUGCUCUGCUAUGUCCUGACCUUGACAGACGUGCUGCCCACAGACCCAAAAGCCUAUGGCUUCCAGGCACGAACCGAUGCCCGUGGUGACAUCAUGGCUAUUGCACCCUGGAUCCGCAUCCCCUACCCCUGUCAGUGGGGCCUGCCCACGGUGA